rnacentral:rRNA from 1 species
GAUGAACGCUGGCGGCGUGCCUAAUACAUGCAAGUCGAGCGAACAGACGAGGAGCUUGCUCCUCUUACGUUAGCGGCGGACGGGUGAGUAACACGUGGAUAACCUACCUAUAAGACUGGGAUAACUUCGGGAAACCGGAGCUAAUACCGGAUAAUAUAUUGAACCGCAUGGUUCAAUAGUGAAAGACGGUUUUGCUGUCACUCAUAGAUGGAUCCGCGCCGCAUUAGCUAUUUGGUAGGUUAACGGCUUACCAAGGCGACGAUGCGUAGCCGACCUGAGAGGGUGAUCGGCCACACUGGAACUGAGACACGGUCCAGACUCCUACGGGAGGAAGCAGUAGGGAAUCUUCCGCAAUGGGCGAAAGCCUGACGGAGCAACGCCGCGUGAGUGAUGAAGGUCUUCGGAUCGUAAAACUUUGUUAUUAGGGAAGAACAAAUGUGUAAGUAACUAUGCACGUCUUGACGGUACCUAAUCAGAAAGCCACGGCUAACUACGUG